CAGCAUGGAACAUGAUGGAACAUUGCUCCAAAGAGCCACAUGGCCAUAUAUUGGAAUGGAUUCUGUAAGAGUCAAAGUUGUCCGCUUAGCUGUCAAACACUUGAAUGAUGACUGACUCAUGCUGAAGUCAAUACAAAUAGACUCUGACCAACCCUCUGCUAAGCACAUGGAGCACAUUGUCCUUACUCAAAAUGCUGGAGUGCAGUGGCAGAUCAUAUAGCUCACUAUAAACUGGAACUCCUGGUCUCAAGCUAUCCUCUCGCCUCGGCCUUCCAAAAGUGUAUUGUAUCUGGAUGCUUUCAGUAGAAUGGUUCACCUUAUAACCUCUACAUGGCAGGAUGCAUAAUCACCAGUUUAUUCUGUAAUACCUGAGCAAAAAUUCAGCCUAGCUAAUAUGGCCUCUUUCACCACACUGACAAGAUAAGGAUGAGGACCACUUAGUUGGCCACCACCAGUAUCAUAAUAUUAGAUAGUAGUUUAAAAAUAUAUAAUGGAAACUAGCUGGUGACCACCACUUUACUUCCAGUUUUGAAAUUGCUGACUCAUCCUAUUUAAGAAUCUGUUGUAAGCAUCAUUUAAGAAUUAGUUUGGUUUAGACAUACUUUGAAGUCAACAUAGUUUUUAAUGCAUGGAAUUACAUAAAGUCAAAUGAACUGUAUACCCUUGCUACAUGCGGUCUUAAUAACACUUGAAAAAAUUGGCUGGAUUUUCAUUUAAAAGCCACCUUGAAUAAUGAUUUUAUUUCAGUGAAAUUCGCUCGUAUUUUUUCCAAGUUCCUUCGACAUUCUAGAUACACUAUCGCUUCUCUAAGAGAUAACUGGCUGGCGCAGAGUUGGAACCAAUACAGACCCAGGCCUGACUGCCAAGCACUGACCAUUCCUGCAAAUUUCUCUCCCAGAAGACGUGUGCAAGCAAAGAAGAGGGCGAUAAUUUGAUUUUGCAAAGGUAGGGAUAGACGCGCACGCACAGACAUCUGCACCGGCCCACAGUGAGUUUGGGACGGGAGCAGUUAGGAAGUGGGGAGCUGCGGUACCUUUUCU